GACGAACGCUGGCGGCAAGCUUAACACAUGCAAGUCGAACGCCGUAGCAAUACGGAGUGGCAGACGGGUGAGUAACACGUGGGAACGUGCCUUUCGGUUCGGAACAACUGAGGGAAACUUCAGCUAAAACCGGAUACGCCCUUCGGGGGAAAGUUUAUGCCGAAAGAUCGGCCCGCGUCAGAUUAGGUAGUUGGCGGGGUAAUGGCCCACCAAGCCGAUGAUCUGUAGCUGUUCUGAGAGGAAGAUCAGCCACACUGGGCCUGGGACACGGCCCGGACUCCUGCGGGAGGCAGCAGUGGGGAAUAUUGGACAAUGGGCGCAAGACUGAUCCAGCUAUGCCGCGUGGAUGAAGAAGGCCUUCGGGUUGUAAAGUCCUUUCGGCGGGGAAGAUAAUGACGGUACCCGCAGAAGAAGCCCCGGCUAAUUUCGUGCCAGCCGCCGCCGUAAUAC
rnacentral:rRNA from 1 species